AGCCCCAGACGAGAUGCAACUUCCUAUACAAAAAAGUCCAAUGAAAUUAACCAAAUCAUAAGAUUGAACAUAGUCUCAGGAAAAUUGUUCCCACAAAGAAAUGAGAACAUUUUAAUUUUAUUGCUUUCAGUUUUCAAGACGCUUUUCCACAUUUUGGUUCUUUCCUUGUCACAUUUUAUUACUGCUGUUUCACUCCAAAAAAAAAAAAAA
rnacentral:misc_RNA from 1 species